ACUUCUGUUUCAAAGAUGGACUGGGGAAAGACAUUAAGUUUGGAGCAGCUCAGUGCUACGGAUCUAGCCUCUCUCCCUCGGGUCUCCAGACUCACUUGGUCCAAGCUGCGGAGCAGGGACAGCGGAGCUCAGGCGGCCACGUUCAGGCCCAGCCACCAGAACCAGAGAGAAACCUACGCCCAGAAGAACAUGUCCCUGGAUUGCUUUCCCACUGCUGUGGAGUGUCUUGAACACUGGUCCCUGGACACCAACUUCAAGAAGACUUCAUGGAUGGCUGUCCAGUCUUAUGAGCCACAGUUUCCCCUCUACAUUUUCUUCACUCCAGCGAGGCUCUUAUCAGGUUCAGUCGAGGAAUAGCUUCCUCCAGGUGGUCUAUACCUAUCGCCAGUUUACAGAAAAAGGAAGCCAGGUGGAUGGAAAACGUGUGCCAAGUUUCUGUGCUUACAAUCCACUAAACUCAUUCUCAUAUGAGGACUUUAUAUACCUGUGAUGGAGUGGGAAAAUCAAUAACCUGGAAAAAAUGAGUACCAUUUUCCAAAGAAGUUCAAUAAAGAGAUGGAAUUUGGGAAA
rnacentral:lncRNA from 1 species